UAUAUAUGUUGAUCUCAUGGUACUAAAUAAUAUGCAUUACUCACUACACCAUUUUAGGUCUACGGCAACACUAAAUCUGAACAACACUUAUAAAGUGUUGCCUAAAAUACUUUUGGGACCACUUUCAAAGUGUAGCCAAAGAUUUUGACUUUUUAGCUACAUUAAUUUUAGCAACACAUCUAAAGUGUACUCUUUAAUGGGAUAACUUACACUUUAUAAGUGUUGUCAUGGUUGGCAACAAUUAUUUACAUGAAUGGCCACACUUUUGAAGUGUGUUAUUUUUAUAAUUGUAAAUACAACACAUUAAAAAUGUGGUCUUAGUGUUUUCACCAAAAUUUUAUAUUCCCUCCAACAUUUUAACAUUAAAAUUUCAUCUCCCUCCCAUUUUUAUUUGGCCAAAAAAAUAAAACAUUAAAGAAAAAUUAAAAAGAAUAAAACAUUAAAGAAAUAAAAAAAGGCCACAUUUCCUAAAACUUCAGCUGAAGCUUCCAUUUUCAGUUGAAGAACACAUUCGCGGUAACUGAAGAAGGAUCGAAGAACGGAAGAAAUCAGCUGUUGUUCAAGAAUGGAGAACAACAUUCGUCACAUUUAUGUUAAACUUCAUCUGAAGAACACCAUUUUUAGCUGAAAAAUCAAAGAGCAUUGCGAUUUCUCUGAACAUGAACUGAAGAAGACAAUUUUCCUCUCAGCUUCGUUGUUCAAGAUUGGAGAGCUGAAGAAGACGAGUUUCUUCAAAGAUUUCUGGGUAAACUGUUGUUCCAUCAUAUUUCCUUUUGAAAAUUGAAAGGAAAUGCUUCACAAAUCAACAUGCCUCAUGACUUAAAGCUUUAGGUUGUUGGAAUAAAGUUUAUCAGAAGCUGAAGCUAAGUCGCCUUUAUAUGAAGAACUGAGUUGUAGCUAAAUCGUCUUUCUUCGAAGAACUAAAUUGUUGAAGUUGGCGAUACCUACGAUAUUUUGUCCCUAAUAUAGAUUUCGUCAACUGAAAAUGUAGGUAAUUGAAUUUGAAUUUGGCCAGAAGUAAACUCGAUCUAUUGUGGCAAAAGAUGAAGAAAUUUUUGUAUUGUUGUCAUAUACGUUUGAAUGACACUUUUGGGUUUUUGGAACUUGUUGAUAUUAGAGAUCUUUAAGCAAUCACUUUCUAUGUUUUGGUUGUACAUGAAAUAUGUCUCGAAGUUUAUUUGAAAUAUAUAGCU